rnacentral:lncRNA from 1 species
GUCACUUCACUGGUAGCCUUGCAGUCCCUCCAAGCUUGAUAUCAUCUGGAAAAUGAAAAAUGUGGUUUCCACUCAAUUGCUCCAUUGAUUAGAGUGUCAGUUGCUGGGUAGCCCUUCUGCAGAGCAGCAGUCAAUACCUCCUUCUCCUCCUCCUUUGACAGGGAAAAGCUGAUCAUAACUUUGAGAAUAAAAUUUUCCAAACACUUUUGCACUUAUUCCAUGGAUGUUUUAUCUAGACAAUUUUCCCUUCUUUGCUUGAAGGAACAUGAGCCUGUGUCAAAUAUUCUGUGUACACAAGACAUAAAAUAGCCACUGUUCCUCCUCUAGCUAUAAGGAUUGUUGCCCUAGCCCCAAAUGGUUUUUACUUCUCUUUCAGUUUUGAACGGCCGAUAUAUCACCAGACUGAGAAAAGGAAAUGAAACUAAACAGGGAAAAUCUUUGCUUCAAUCAGUAUAUUGCCUCCAACAUCUAAGUAAUGUGUUUAAGAAUACCGUACAAAGUCUAAGCUGACAAUUUGCUAUCCUUAUCCAAAGGUUUGCGAUAAUUCAUUGUUUACUAUAGAGAAAUUUGGGGAGUCGCUGUGCAUAAAGUGCUGGAGAGGUGACACUUAGCAGCAGGCUGAGCUGGUGGGGCACAAUUCACAGAAUAAAAAUAACCUGAGUAACUGUGCCCAGCUAACAGGCGAUAGCUGCUGGAGAUGAUAAUAACAGGUCAUGGCACAGCACCAGGAGACCUGAGAACACCUAAGGAGGAAAAAGUCCAGUGAGCUGGGCUCCAACAGAGUGUCCAGAAAACCUCCUAUUGUGGGAGCUCUCUGCUGUAUUUGGCAUUACCACAACUAGUCCUGGAGUAUCCCGCUACAGACCAGUGUGUGAAGUCCAAGAAGGAAGCUGAUGGCGAAAAGCUGAAGAAAAUUAAAAUGGAUGAGAAGACAAUAAAACCCAAGCAUUUCAGACCACACAGCUGAAAAAAAAGAGUGGUUAUUAGGUGUUUGGAUCACAGAUUAACUAUCUGCACAAACAGGAAACCAGCAGAGAUCUUGCAAAGAAAAGGUUUAUUGGUGCUGAAAACUGAAUCAAGACAAGUACACUUAAUGACAUAUUUAUCCAUUGAAAAUGUGUUUGUGCUGGGGUCUCCAUCAAUGGCAAUUGUGAAAACUGGACUAGUUUUCAAACUAGUUUGUUUAUCUACAAGUCGGGCUGUAGCUCAGGAGUCACAUGAGUCAUGUCCUGACUUUAGUUCUGUUCAUGUACAAACAGAUCAAAUGUCAUUACCACGUUUCAGUGUGGCUAAAAGUUGUUGUAUUGCUUUUCUCUAAAGUUUAAGAGAAUAGGUUGAAAGGCAGAGCAUCUCUGUAGAGGGAAUGCAUUUCCUGGAGACAAUUGCAUUUAAAGGAAGAUAGAGAGAAGGAAGAAUCAAAGCAAUCUGUGAGAUGAGUAGCACAUAGGGACACCCAUAGAUCCAGAGGAGGAACACAAAUGAUCAGGGGGGCUGGAACGCCUGUCCUGUGAAGUAAAAACUUUGAGAAUUGGGGUUGUUCAGCCUAGAGUAGAGAAGUCACUGGCAAGACCUUACUGCAGCCUUUCGAUUUAUAAAGGCAGCUUGUAAGACAGAGAAAAACAUUUUAUAAGGGCCUGUAGCGACACAACAAGGGGUUAUGGUUUCAAAUUGGAUGAGGGCAGAUUAAGGUGAGUUAUGAGGAAGUAAUUUUUUUGGAACAGGUUGCCCAGGGAAGUAGUGAAUGCCAAAUCCCUGGAAAUGCUCAAGGCCAGGUUUGACAGGCAUUUAUGAUUCUGUGUAAGUCAUAAUAUGGUUUCUGGGGAGCUGAUGUCAGAUGAUAGUACCACAUCCACAGAACAUUCACCUUUUCCUGUUUCUUCUGGUGCAAUAUUUUGAGCAUAGCACUUCAAAUUUUACUAUGCACUGUCAUGCAAAAUCAAUAAUAGGAAGCAUGUAAUUAAAAAAUAUGAUCUUUUCCAAACAUAAAUAGAGCUGCUUGGCUAUCUUAAGAACACUUACUAACAACAAUAGUGGAAAGUGUGAUGGCUAAAGGAUGAUAACCCCAGAGGGCAGAAGCUUUCUAAGAAGCCAUCUAAGAAUCUUUUUAACCAAAAAUACUGAGCAGUUUCUAAACAGCUUUUUAUUGAUUUUUCAGGAAAAAGAACGACUCUAACAUUAAGAUAUCUUACUUUGUUGAACCUAGUUAUUACCACUCCCUGUAACCCAGUAAGUAAGACAUACCUAAAAGGAAGGAUAUGAGAGUUCCAAAUCUUACUUCAGCAACUGUGAGUACCCGUUACAACCUAUGGAGCACCUUUGACAAGAUCAGAGCAGCCCUCCUGGGAUAUGCAAUAGCAUUGUGUUGGAGCUUCUAGGAGGGGAAGAGUGAGAGAAAUGCUUUCAAAUGCUGAAGGGCUUUGAAGGUGGGUUGGUUUUUUUCAUUAGAGUCAGCCACUGGAACAUUACAAAGGCCCACAGCCCCUUCACUAUUGUGAAUUGAUGGCCUCAUUCCUUAGAUUUUGUUACAUAUGACCCAUUCUGUUCAGUGACAAAAGAAUAAAAGAUGGCAUGGGGUUGUGGUUUUUUUGGGGUUUUUUUUCUGAUGGAUAUAAACCAAUGACUCUUCUGUACCUUUUUAGCUCUGAACCAACAAAUUGCUUGAUUUAUGCAGUUCUGCCUUUGGCAUUGUCAAGACAAAACAUAGCUGAGAGUUGCUAGAGAAGCCUCCGCUGGAGCAGUUUUUCGUCCCCAAAUGCCACAAAGCAGAUCCCGCAUCAAGAAGCUUUAACAGUCAGGGACCUUAUUUUCAUUCUUUGUGUUACACAACUGGGCUCCAAGUGCUCAUUUACUCACACAAAAUCAUGGAAAAAUGUUAAUUGCCUUUAGAAAAUUGUCUUUUGCCACUUUUUGACUAUCUCACCUUUUCCUCAUUCCUCCCCUUCCUUCCCUACAGCCCUCCUCCCACACUAAUUUUUGCAGCUUUAUGUGGGAUAGGAUACAUUUUAGGCUGUGACCAAGUGUGAGAGCUGCACAGAGCACAAGGUUUAGGAGAGGAUCCAUUUUCCAUCUUCUCGCAGGGAGCUAACUGCUGUCUUCAAGCCCAUGAGGCGUCCUCCCUUUCCAGCUACCACAGCUCAGACUGAGGUGAUAGGCACAAGGUGCAUUCUCUCCAUUCCUGACUUGCAAAUGAAAGCCAUGUUGUGCCGAACAUGAAAUGCAGACAGGUCUUUUACCAGUGCACUUCUGAGGAAGAGUUGCAAUGCAUGGCUUAGAUGAGCUAAAAAGCCACAAUGCAGGUACCCAGCAACUUGAAAAACUGUAGCAAGGGACAGGAAAGAGAUCAGUCUGUGUUGUAUAACUAUCUUUCUGUAAUAUUAAAGAUACCCAUUUUAUCUAGAAAUGGCCAAGACAUUUUUCUUAUUCUUUCAAAAUAUUGAGUGAAUUCACAAAUGACUUUAAAUAACCCAUUUUUAUUCAUUUUCUUUUUAUAAAAUAAACUUGUAUAGGAAAAAUUAUGAAUACCACAUUCAUUACAAUAGAAGCUUUUGGAAGACAUAGUCUGCCUGAUACAUUUCUUUACACCCGAAGAGUAUGAUAAGAUAAAUUCCAUUUUCAAGUUUCUGAAUUGUAUAACAGCCCCAUUAAUUUCAAUAGCUGAGUCACAGGAAGAAGAAUUUCCUGUAAACUCUUCUAGUUGUUUUGAUGUACAGUAGAAAAACUUAGUGGAGAUUAAAAUGCAAUCUGUGCAAUUUUUUUUUUAGUUUUUCAUUAUAUUCUGCAGGUUUGCUUUUCUUUUUCCUUAAUGCAUCAAAGUAUAAAAACCUUUGUAUCUGUGACAAACAACAGCAAACAAGUAAUGUUUGCAGAUAACUUUGAUUCCAGUCUAAAGCCACCUAACUUGGGCCACCUGUUUUAAGGCUGUGGGAACAGUCAAGUCCUUUCUAUGUUGCAUAAAAUACUCUAAAUAUAUUCACUGUCAGCAUGAAACAAGAAAUUAGGACGAAAAUUGUGAGAUUGUAUGUGUCUUUUUAUAUGAGCAAAAAGACAGCACUAAAAAAGUCUCAUAUUUGCAACUUCAUAGCCUAGCCCAGUGAGAAUACGAUUUCUCCUUGGAUGCAAAAUGGGCAUGAGGUGAACUACUACACAACUGUACUAGGAACAGUGUGAAGCCCAUGGCUGACAGUGACCUUGAGGAGAUGUAACUUCAUACAUCCCAUCUGUACACCUACUGGAGGUAGUGGAAUAUAUAAGGGAGCUCUGGUGUCUCCAGUUAGCCCCAGUGA